CCAUCAUUAAGUUGGGUCGACUUUUAAGGAAACGUAGCCGGUGGAUAAGCCGGAGGAAGGUGGGGAGUGACGUCAAGUCCUCAUGGCCCUUACAGGCUGGGCUACACACGUGCUACAAUGGCAUCUACAGUGGGCAGCUAUUCCGCAAGGAUGCGCUAAUCUCCAAAAGAUGUCUCAGUUCGGAUUGUCCUCUGCAACUCGAGGGCAUGAAGGCGGAAUCGCUAGUAAUCGCGGAUCAGCAUGCCGCGGUGAAUACGUUCCCAGGCCUU
rnacentral:rRNA from 1 species